GCCCAGCAGCUAGCCCACCCAAUAAAACCAACAUCAAUUAUCAAUACCCCCUAAUUCUCUUCAACCCAUUAAACAAAACAUUUUUCCACCCUAGUACGGGCGACGGAAAAGGAACUAGGAGCUAUAGAGAAAGUACCGCAAGGGAAAGCUGAAAGAGAAAUGAAACAACCCAGUAAAGCCAAAAAAAGCAGAGACAGAGCCUCGUACCUU
rnacentral:rRNA from 1 species